GCAUAUCAAUAAGCGGAGGAAAAGAAACCAACAGGGAUUGCCCCAGUAACGGCGAAGUGAAGCGGCAACAGCUCAAAUUUGAAAUCUGGCCCUCGGGUCCGAAGUUGUAAUUUGAAGAAGGAUGCUUUUGGUGCGGUGCCUUCCGAGUUCCCUGGAACGGGACGCCAUAGAGGGUGAGAGCCCCGUCUGGUUGGAUGCCAAACCUCUGUAAAGCUCCUUCGACGAGUCGAGUAGUUUGGGAAUGCUGCUCAAAAUGGGAGGUAUAUGUCUUCUAAAGCUAAAUAUUGGCCAGAGACCGAUAGCGCACAAGUAGAGUGAUCGAAAGAUGAAAAGCACUUUGAAAAGAGGGUUAAAUAGUACGUGAAAUUGUUGAAAGGGAAGCACUCAUGACCAGACUUGGGCCCGGUGAAUCAUCCAGCGUUCUCGCUGGUGCACUUUGCCGGCCCAGGCCAGCAUCAGUUCGUUGUGGGGGAAAAAGGCUUCGGGAACGUGGCUCCUUCGGGAGUGUUAUAGCCCGUUGCAUAAUACCCUGUGAUGGACUGAGGUUCGCGCUCCGCAAGGAUGCUGGCGUAAUGGUCAUCAGUGACCCGUCUUGAAACACGGACCAAGGAGUCGUCCUCGUAUGCGAGUGUUCGGGUGUCAAACCCCUACGCGUAAUGAAAGUGAACGUAGGUGAGAGCUUCGGCGCAUCACCGACCGAUCCUGAUGUUCUCGGAUGGAUUUGAGUAAGAGCAUACGGGGCCGGACCCGAAAGAAGGUGAACUAUGCCUGUAUAGGGUGAAGCCAGAGGAAACUCUGGUGGAGGCUCGCAGCGGUUCUGACGUGCAAAUCGAUCGUCAAAUAUGGGCAUGGGGGCGAAAGACUAAUCGAACCUUCUAGUAGCUGGUUCCGC
rnacentral:rRNA from 1 species